AUUGAACGCUGGCGGCAGGCCUAACACAUGCAAGUCGAGCGGAUGAAGGGAGCUUGCUCCUGGAUUCAGCGGCGGACGGGUGAGUAAUGCCUAGGAAUCUGCCUGGUAGUGGGGGAUAACGUCCGGAAACGGGCGCUAAUACCGCAUACGUCCUGAGGGAGAAAGUGGGGGAUCUUCGGUCCUCACGCUAUCAGAUGAGCCUAGGUCGGAUUAGCUAGUUGGUGGGGUAAAGGCCUACCAAGGCGACGAUCCGUAACUGGUCUGAGAGGAUGAUCAGUCACACUGGAACUGAGACACGGUCCAGACUCCUACGGGAGGCAGCAGUGGGGAAUAUUGGACAAAGGGCGAAAGCCUGAUCCAGCCAUGCCGCGUGUGUGAAGAAGGUCUUCGGAUUGUAAAGCACUUUAAGUUGGGAGGAAGGGCAGUAAGUUAAUACCUUGCUGUUUUGACGUUACCAACAGAAUAAGCACCGGCUAACUUCGUG
rnacentral:rRNA from 1 species